rnacentral:sRNA from 1 species
UUCUCCAUUCGGGGAAGGAUGAGAAGCUUCGACUAAGGUUCGACUCGAGCAUCGCGAGAGAGCGUUGCCGCAGGCAACGACCCGAAGGGCGAGGACCAUAGCGACGAGUAAUCCUUCCCCC